ACAAGUGGCGGCUGUCGUUGGCUUUUGUUGCUGUCUUAAUUGCGCGACGCGGCUGCUGCCGUGGCUUCUUCGUACUCUGGCUUCCCCACUUCGCUGUCUACUUGUUGCUAUUUUCUGCACUUCCAUUUGCGCUUAGUCAGACUGGGCGGCAGUUGUCGCGAUAUUACGCUUCCCACAAGGCAUUAUGAAUUUUGGCAAACGGUUGUCAGUCGAAGCCGACAGAUUCACACGACAUUAAUUAAUUGAAGCCACAAGCAGCAUCGGACAAAGUGAUUGAUUUAAAAUACAAAUACAGAUCGCGUAUAAUGUAUGAGCUAACAUUCAAGUAUUCUCAGAAUUUUGAAAGGCUCUUCGAGCUGUAUUCCCAAAGCCACUUCGCUUUGGUUGGCUAGCUCUUAAAGAUAGAGUCCCCCAGAGAGCACUUUGAAUUUGAUUUUUCUGGGCCUGGUAUUUUUUGUAUUAUUGUCAGACAUAACUUGGGUGCAUUUUUCUAAUGGAGUGCAUAGUAUACGGACUCCUUUGGAAGAGGCCAGCUUGGAUUUAGAAAAUAGGUUCUCUGGAUCUGGAUGGAGUUGCCUGGGAGGCUGGGUAAGAGAAAUGAAAAAAAUG